GGGGAUUUAGCUCAGUGGUAGAGCGCUUGCCUAGCAAGCACAAGGCCCUGGGUUCGGUUCCCAACUCCA
rnacentral:tRNA from 1 species